UACGUAGGUGGCAAGCGUUGUCCGGAUUUACUGGGCGUAAAGGGCGUGCAGGCGGUCUGUUAAGUGCAGGGUGAAAGCUCCCGGCUCAACUGGGAGAGGUCCUUGCAUACUGGCGGACUUGAGGGGGGUAGAGGAAAGUGGAAUUCCCGGUGUAGUGGUGAUAUGCGUAGAUAUCGGGAGGAACACCUGUGGCGAAGGCGGCUUUCUGGGCCCUACCUGACGCUGAGACGCGAAAGCGUGGGGAGGCGAACCGGG
rnacentral:rRNA from 1 species